UACGUAGGGUGCGAGCGUUAAUCGGAAUUACUGGGCGUAAAGCGUGCGCAGGCGGUUUUGUAAGUCAGAUGUGAAAUCCCCGGGCUUAACCUGGGAACUGCGUUUGAAACUACAAGGCUAGAGUGUGGCAGAGGGGGGUGGAAUUCUACGUGUAGCAGUGAAAUGCGUAGAUAUGCGGAGGAACACCGAUGGCGAAGGCAAUCCCCUGGGCCUGCACUGACGCUCAUGCACGAAAGCGUGGGGAGCAAACAGG
rnacentral:rRNA from 1 species